CAUUUUCCAAACAGACAUCAAGAGAAUUAAAUACAAAAGAUAACAGAAUAAUAAUUGCAAACAGACAUCAUAUUCAGACCACUAUUUCCCUCUUUUUUUAUUUCCUAUUCUUCUCCUAUUCCCAUCCUUUCAAUUUUCCUCCUAUGUUUCUAGCAUAUCUCCUCUGUCCUCUCCUCAUAGCUGUCCACACAAUAAUUCCAUCAUUUCAUCCCAUCUUCUAUUUAUCCUUAGAUAUCACUCUCCAUUUUUUUAAUUUUACUCUUGGUUCAAAUCUCAUUUCAAGAAAAUUUUCCAAUUCCCAGAUCAACUCAUUUCUUCCCAAAAAUAUCUGAAAGAAUUUAGAAGAUAAAUUUUACUUAAGUGGUGAGAGUCAAAUUUCACUUACCUUUGUUCUCAAUGACGACAUUAAUAUGAUUGAUGGAUUCCUCCCUUGUUCCGCUCCCAAUUCCACC
rnacentral:lncRNA from 1 species